AACGAACGCUGGCGGCAGGCUUAACACAUGCAAGUCGAGCGCCCCGCAAGGGGAGCGGCAGGCGGGUGAGUAACGCGUGGGAAUCUACCCAUCUCUACGGAAUAACGCAUGGAAACGUGUGCUAAUACCGUAUACGUCCUUCGGGAGAAAGAUUUAUCGGAGAUGGAUGAGCCCGCGUUGGAUUAGCUAGUUGGUGGGGUAAAGGCCUACCAAGGCGACGAUCCAUAGCUGGUCUGAGAGGAUGAUCAGCCACACUGGGACUGAGACACGGCCCAGACUCCUACGGGAGGCAGCAGUGGGGAAUAUUGGACAAUGGGCGCAAGCCUGAUCCAGCCAUGCCGCGUGCGUGAUGAAGGCCCUAGGGUUGUAAAGCUCUUUCACCGGUGAAGAUAAUGACGGUAACCGGAGAAGAAGCCCCGGCUAACUUCGUGCCAGCCGCCGCGGUAAUAC
rnacentral:rRNA from 1 species